rnacentral:misc_RNA from 1 species
CAGCCCGGUAAUUCCAGCUCCAAUAGCGUAUAUUAAAGUUGCUGCAGUUAAAAAGCUCGUAGUUGAAUUUCGGGACCAUCAUGUCGGUCGUGCCUCGGUACGUACUGGCAUUGUUGGUUUCUCCCUUCUGACGAACCAUGAUGUCAUUUAUUUGGUGUUGUGGGAAAUCAGGACUGUUACUUUGAAAAAAUUAGAGUGUUUAAAGCAGGCUCACGCUUGAAUACAUUAGCAUGGAAUAAUGAAAUAGGACGUUUGAUUCUAUUUUGUUGGUUUCUAGGAUCGACGUAAUGAUUAAUAGGGAUAGUUGGGGGCAUUAGUAUUCAAUUGUCAGAGGUGAAAUUCUUGGAUUUAUUGAAGACUAACUACUGCGAAAGCAUUUGCCAAGGAUGUUUUCAUUAAUCAAGAACGAAAGUUAGGGGAUCGAAGACGAUCAGAUACCGUCGUAGUCUUAACCAUAAACUAUGCCGACUAGGGAUCGGAUGAUGUUAAUUUUUUAAUGACUCAUUCGGCGCCUUACG